CAAAGCUACAAAGGGCCAACGGUGGAUGCCUUGGCGUCUACUACCGAUGAAGGACGUGGGAGGCUGCGUUAAGCCUUGGGGAGUCGCCGACCAGACUUUGAUCCAGGGAUGUCCGAAUGGGGAAACCCACUACUCGUAAUGGGGUAGUACUCCCGCCUGAAUGUAUAGGGCGGGUAGAGGGAACCGGGUGAAUUGAAACAUCUCAGUAGCCCGAGGAAAAGAAAGUAACAACGACUCCGUAAGUAGCGGCGAGCGAACGCGGAUGAGCCUAAACCUAUCUGGUGUGAUAGCCCAGCAGCGUUGCCAGAUGGGGGUCGUGGGACCAACUAGAGAAGGGCUGGCCUUCUCAAAGAGUUACAAAAGUGCUGCAUAGGGGAAUCGUCUGGAAAGGCGUACCGUAGGGGGUAAUAGUCCCGUACCUGAAAUGUAUGCGCACUCUUUGUUGUGCUCCCGAGUAACGCCGGAUCCGGGAAAGCCGGCGUGAAUCAGCGAGGACCACCUCGUAAGGCUAAGUAUACGUAGACGACCGAUAGUGCACUAGUACCGUGAGGGAAAGGUGAAAAGUACCCCGGGAGGGGAGUGAAAUAGUACCUGAAACCGUUGGCCUACAAGCAGUCAGAGCGUCGUCAGUUCUUUUGGACUGGCCGUGAUGGCGUGCCUUUUGAAGAAUGAGCCAACGAGUUGUGGUGUGUGGCGAGGUUAACCCGUGUGGGGUAGCCGGAGCGAAAGCGAGUCUGAAUAGGGCGUAGAGUCGCAUGCUGCAGACCCGAAGCCGAGUGAUCUAUCCAUGGGCAGUGUGAAGCGGGGGUAAGACUCCGUGGAGGCGCGAACCGACCUCAGUUGAAAAUGGGGCGGAUGACCUGUGGAUAGGGGUGAAAGGCCAAGCAAACUCGGUGAUAGCUGGUUCUCCGCGAAAUGUAUUUAGGUACAGCGUUGCAUGUUUAUCGAUGGAGGUAGAGCUACUGAAUGGGCUAGGGGGCCUACAAGCUUACUGACCCCAAUCAAACUCCGAAUGCCAUCGAUUGAGAGUGCAGCAGUGAGACCCCGGGGGAUGAGCUUCGGGGUCGAGAGGGAAACAGCCCAGACCGUCGGCUAAGGUCCCAAAAUCGACACUAAGUGGUAAACGAUGUGGAGUUGCGUAGACAGCCAGGAGGUUGGCUUAGAAGCAGCCACCCUUGAAAGAGUGCGUAAUAGCUCACUGGUCGAGUGAUUCUGCGCGGACAAUGUAACGGGGCUCAAGUGUCGUACCGAAGCCACGGGUGCGUCUUUUAGACGUGCGGUAGCGGAGCGUCGAUCUCGCGUUGAAGCGGCAGGGUGACCGGUCGUGGAGUGUGGUCGAGUGAGAAUGUUGGCAUGAGUAGCGAAAGAGGAGUGAGAAGCUCCUCCGCCGAAUAUCCAAGGGUUCCUGGGCAAGGCUAAUCCUCCCAGGGUGAGUCGGGAGCUAAGGCGAGGCCGAAAGGCGUAGUCGAUGCACAACUGGUUGAUAUUCCAGUACCACCGUGAACGCGUCCAUCCCAAUUCUUGGUUGCUAAAGGGCUGUUAGACCUUCGGGUCGAAACGAACUGACCCACCUUGAUGCGGGCAGCUGUAGGGGGACGCAGGAAGGUAAGUGAACCCGGGCGUUGGUAGUCCCGGGGUAAGCGUGUAGGGCGAGGUGUAGGCAAAUCCGCACUUCAUGAUGCCUGAGACGUGAUACCGAGCCGUUAGGCGAAGUCACUGAUCCUAUGCUGCCGAGAAAAGCCUAGCAGUGAGUUUUCAUGUGUGCCCGUACCCCAAACCAACUCAGGUGGAUAGGUAGAGAAUACUAAGGCGAUUGGGUGAACUAUGGUUAAGGAACUCGGCAAAAUACAUGCGUAACUUCGGGAUAAGCAUGACCUCGUUAGGGUGAUAGGACUUGCUCCUGGAGCUCGAAGAGGUGGCACAGAAUUCGGGGAAGCGACUGUUUACUAAAAACACAGCAGCGUGCUAAGCCGUAAGGCGAUGUAUACGCUGUGACGCCUGCCCGGUGCUGGAAGGUUACGGGGAAAGGUUAGCCUUUGGGCGAAGCUUUGAACCUAAGCCCCAGUAAACGGCGGCCGUAACUAUAACGGUCCUAAGGUAGCGAAAUUCCUUGUCGGGUAAGUUCCGACCUGCACGAAUGGCGUAACGACUUCCCC
rnacentral:rRNA from 1 species